CAGUCGCCGCGGGAAUACGUAGGGCGCAAGCGUUGUCCGGAAUUAUUGGGCGUAAAGAGCUCGUAGGCGGUCUGUCGCGUCUGGUGUGAAAUCCCGAGGCUCAACCUCGGGCUUGCAUCGGGUACGGGCAGACUAGAGUGCGGUAGGGGAGACUGGAAUUCCUGGUGUAGCGGUGGAAUGCGCAGAUAUCAGGAGGAACACCGAUGGCGAAGGCAGGUCUCUGGGCCGCAACUGACGCUGAGGAGCGAAAGCAUGGGGAGCGAACAGGAUUAGAUACCCGAGUAGUCCCUGUCUCUUAUAC
rnacentral:rRNA from 1 species